rnacentral:rRNA from 1 species
CCAUUCCGCGUGAGUGAAGAAGGCCUUCGGGUUGUAAAGCUCUUUCGGCAGGAACGAAACGGCGGGCUCUAACAUAGCCUGUCACUGACGGUACCUGAAGAAGAAGCACCGGCUAACUACGUGCCAGCAGCCGCGGUAAUACGUAGGGUGCGAGCGUUAAUCGGAAUUACUGGGCGUAAAGCGUGCGCAGGCGGUUCCAUAAGACAGAUGUGAAAUCCCCGGGCUUAACCUGGGAACUGCGUUUGUGACUGUGGGACUCGAGUGUGGCAUAGGGGGGUGGAAUUCCACGUGUAGCAGUGAAAUGCGUAGAGAUGUGGAGGAACACCGAUGGCGAAGGCAGCCCCCUGGGUCAACACUGACGCUCAUGCACGAAAGCGUGGGGAGCAAACAGGAUUAGAUACCCUGGUAGUCCACGCCCUAAACGAUGCGAACUAGGUGUUGGGGAAGGAGACUUUCUUAGUACCGCAGCUAACGCGUGAAGUUCGCCGCCUGGGGAGUACGGUCGCAAGAUUAAAACUCAAAGGAAUUGACGGGG